ensembl:lincRNA Gm26649 predicted gene, 26649
CAUUCUACUGUUUAUUACACAUAUUACAUUCUUAAAUAAAAAUGCGUCACAUAACAUUUUUGCAUAGAUAUCUUACAAUAUACCAAUUUAAAAAAGAAUUAUGAAACAGACCAGUAACAAAAAUAAAUUUUUUCUUCAUUAAUAAUUUUGUAACAUUAACAUACCACCAUCAUAUAAUACAAAUAAUAGUUUUAAAUCUUAAGACUUUUGUACAGCAAAAAAACUUGACAAAGUAAUAUAUUUAUAUAUAUAUAUAAAAAGCUUAAAAAAAAUAAAAUGUCAAAAAAAGGCAUAACCGAGGGCUAUAAGACUGGGUACUUCUGUGAUAUAUUAUAAAUACCAGAGAAGGCCUGAGAGAAUGUGACAGGGAGGUGGGGGGAGGGGAGGCUCCAAAAACAUUAAACAUUUAGUUUGCCUUUGUGUUAGCAAGGAGAUCUUGGCCCUAACAGGUGUAUUUUUCCUCCCUGGGAUGAAGCAGAAGUGAGAUGGAAGAAAUCAAAUUGUCUGAGCUUGAGUGAGCAAAUGCAUGCUGGGAAGCAAAAAGGAAACAAAAAAGGCUAAUGAGCCCCCAAAUCUUUAGGACCUCGGUUUACAGAAAUUAUUCUGCCUCUGGUCCCAAGGGCUAGGAUUGAAAUGUCCCCUCUCCCCACCCACUGCCCCUCCCCUGUAUGUGGAACUAACUCCCAGUGGUGUGGUUUUUAUAUACUGGCAUUAUAAGCAUCCAUCCCCCCAAAAGAGAUUAGGCACUGGUGGCUACCCCUCUUAUACCUCAGUAGCCUGUUUUCCUUCUGCGAAGGUACAGUAGGUAUGUAUGCACACCCAUGCAGGUGUGUGCACACACACCACCCUCAUUAUUCUGACGUGGGGUCCUUUGUAUGGCAGUAGACAGAAGCUGGGGUCAAAGCAAUUACGAUUCCAAAACUCACAGUUGAAAAAAAUCGUAUAAACGGUCCCCAACCAAGAACACAUCAACCUUCCCUCAUGACCACAGAGAGGGAGCCCUAUUUGAAAAAGAGUAUCUUGUUUGGGAUAUUUGCUAAGUGACGACUUUGAUCUCACUCCUGUUGUGGAUACCUGUUUCCCGAGGACUUACUGGAAAAUGCAGAACACCUGAAGAAUACAGUACUAUAUUGAAAGAUGCUCAUAAGAAAGUUAAUUGCAGCUUAGCUAUCCCCUUUCUGGGAUCUGUUAGAGGAACCAAGAGAGGAGAUUUAAGUGUUAAAAACAAGAAACCCUGAAGCUCAGGCAUUAGUCAUGAGACACCACAUUUCAUAGGAGCAGAUUUUGCUUCCUUUGACAUAUUUCUGUUGUCCAUCUCAAGUGCUCCCAAAGAUCCUCAAAGAGAAACACAUGCCAUCAGGAAGGCAGCAAUGGACACUCAGGCUGGGCCCUCCGGUUGCAAAUUAAGCAUCACCAUGUUUCCCGAAAUGCAACCCAGACACUCAGAACCAGGUAUCCUCCUGCCCCAACUUCUGCCACUUCUAAAAUAAAAUUGAGGAAAAGUUUUCAUGAAUUUAUUUCAGCCAAGUCUUUCUUAAGUUCCACCUGGGCAAUAUUCUAGGUGCAAGAUUUCAGCCGGAUGUGAGGUCUUUUGUUUGUUUGUUUGUUUAAAGGGAGAGAAGGCAGACAGAUUUCUGGAGUCAAAUGGGUUGUUCAUGCUCCCUUCCUCUUUCCUUCUGAAGUAACACACGCAGAAGAGGAGAUAUAAGUAGUCCCCACAUUUACAUUAUGAACUGAUUCCCACAGAGGAAAUCACUCAGAACCGUGAAAAUUAAUCACACUGAGGUUUGCAUUGGCAAACCAUUUCUUUGGGCUUUCCCAUGGGAUGCAGGAGUGGAGGCUGCAGGCAGGACAGUUCUGAAUGCUUGAGUUAGCCAACCCUCCCCCUCCCCCAUUUGUUUUCCCUUGGAUGCAAAUAGACACAGAUCAUUUGGAAGCAUAUCCCAAAUUCAAGUCCCUAAAUACACUCUUCUCUAAUUUCAAAGAAGAUUUAAAAAUAAAAAAUAAAUUAAAAAAAAUUCCUAGGAAUCCAUCCUGCUCAUCAGACAUGAGGUUGGCUCUCUUUUUACCCUGUUAUCAUCAGGCGAUCAAAGAUGGAAAAGGGUAGAGGUGUGCAUGGGGAGGUGGCAGCAGGGAGAGUGGGGAGUGGUUGAAGGGCUUUGGGAAGGAAACUGGGACAGGGAAAUGGCCAGCAUGAAGGUCAUUGGGGGGGGGGGUCUCCAAUAUUUUUACAAAAAUGCAGCUUUAACUUGGAAUCCAAACAUCUCUUUCUUUCUGGACAAAGUACUCAUCCACAUAGGCAUGAGGUUGGGCCAGUAAGCUGACAGUGGGACAGGAGGCCAGGAGCAAAGAGCAGCAUUACAAUGUCGGUCCCCACAUCCCUGAAGGUCACGUGGAGGAGAAAGAGAAGUAACUUGAAGUAAAGAAAAUCACCAGUGGCUUAGAACCAUGUCUUCUACAUAGCCAUCUCUGGGCCCUGGAUAGAAUGCUCAAGAGGACAGCCUAUGCCACAUUUAUGCCAGGCUUGCCCUUUCAAAUCUGGGAUCCCCUUGGAAUGCUAGGAGGUAAUGUCUUAAAUUGUGAAAGGGAUUUCAUGUUUCAAAUAUCCAUGACACCAUUCUAGACACCCAGUCCUCUUGGGAGCAAAGGACACGUUGAGGUUAUUUCUUGAAAAACCUGCUCCCUCCAGAGGCAUCAAGCAACUGCCUCUGCAGUUGAGGAAGAAUGGAGGAGGACGUGUCAUAAACCUAUUUCUAAAAUGUCCAAGGGAUACCCACCCCAAGCUAAGGACUCGCAAUCUUCCACAGGUCUUCACUGGGGUUAGAGAAGAACAGAUUCAAAGCCAUGCGCUUAGCACCCACCAAAUUCUCAGGCCAAUUCCCACAGCCAACAAAGGACUCUGAAGCAAGCAAGCACCAUCAUGGUAUCUCAGUGCGCCCUGCUCCAAGAGAGAUCAGGAGCAGAUCACAAAGACCUCACUGAUACAAAAGAGAAAUUACCAAACAUUUCAGACACCAAAGAGGACCAAGGGGCCUUUGUUCUGCCACAUUCAAAUGAAACCACAGAUGGCGAGAGGGACAAACAGCAAUGAUUACUCUUUUGCAUUUCUUUCUUUUCUUUUUUUUUUUUUUCCUUUUUCUUUUUUUAUAGAGCCUUGCAUUGGUCAGUACAAAAAAAAAUUAAAUUAAGUACUAUAAA